rnacentral:rRNA from 1 species
ACAGCCUGCAACCCGGCUGUAUGAAGCUGGAAUCGCUAGUAAUCGCAGAUCAGAAUGCUGCGGUGAAUACGUUCCCGGGUCUUGUACACACCGCCCGUCACACCAUGGGAGCCAGGAAUGCCCGAAGCCAGUGGCCUAACCGCAAGGGAGGAGCUGUCGAAGGCAGGCCCGGUAACUGGGGUGAAGUCGUAACAAGGUAAC